rnacentral:rRNA from 1 species
AGUGAACGCUGGCGGUAGGCCUAACACAUGCAAGUCGAACGGCAGCACAGUAAGAGCUUGCUCUUACGGGUGGCGAGUGGCGGACGGGUGAGGAAUACAUCGGAAUCUACUUUUUCGUGGGGGAUAACGUAGGGAAACUUACGCUAAUACCGCAUACGACCUACGGGUGAAAGCAGGGGAUCUUCGGACCUUGCGCGAUUGAAUGAGCCGAUGUCGGAUUAGCUAGUUGGCGGGGUAAAGGCCCACCAAGGCGACGAUCCGUAGCUGGUCUGAGAGGAUGAAUAGGCAACACUGAACUGGAGCACGGGCCCGACUCCUAAGGGAGGCCGCAGUGGGGAAUAUUUGACCAUGGGGCGAAGGCUGAACCAGGCCAUCCGGGGGGGUGAAAGAGGCCUUCGGGUUUGUAAACCCCUUUUGUGGGAAAGAAAAGGAGCAGGUUUAUACCCCGCUGUUCUGACGGUACCCAAAGAAUAAGCACCGGCUAACUUCGUG